GGUGGGGUAAAGGCCUACCAAGGCGACGAUCUGUAGCGGGUCUGAGAGGAUGAUCCGCCACACUGGGACUGAGACACGGCCCAGACUCCUACGGGAGGCAGCAGUGGGGAAUAUUGGACAAUGGGCGGAAGCCUGAUCCAGCCAUGCCGCGUGUGUGAAGAAGGCCUUUUGGUUGUAAAGCACUUUAAGCGAGGAGGAGGCUCCUUUAGUUAAUACCUAAAGUGAGUGGACGUUACUCGCAGAAUAAGCACCGGCUAACUCUGUGCCAGCAGCCGCGGUAAUACAGAGGGUGCGAGCGUUAAUCGGAUUUACUGGGCGUAAAGCGUGCGUAGGCGGCUUUUUAAGUCGGAUGUGAAAUCCCUGAGCUUAACUUAGGAAUUGCAUUCGAUACUGGAAAGCUAGAGUAUGGGAGAGGAUGGUAGAAUUCCAGGUGUAGCGGUGANAAUGCGUNAGAGANUCUGGAGNGAAUACCGAUGGCGAAGGCAGCCAUCUGGCCUAAUACUGACGCUGAGGUACGAAAGCAUGGGGAGCAAACAGGAUUAGAUACCCUGGUAGUCCAUGCCGUAAACGAUGUCUACUAGCCGUUGGGGCCUUUGAGGCUUUAGUGGCGCAGCUAACGCGAUAAGUAGACCGCCUGGGGANGUACGGNUCGCNAAGACUAAANANCNUCAAAUGAAUUGACGGGGGCCCGCACAAGCGGUGGAGCAUGUGGUUUAAUUCGAUGCAACGCGAAGAACCUUACCUGGCCUUGACAUACUAAGAACUUUCCAGAGAUGGAUUGGUGCCUUCGGGAACUUAGAUACAGGUGCUGCAUGGCUGUCGUCAGCUCGUGUCGUGAGAUGUUGGGUUAAGUCCCGCAACGAGCGCAACCCUUUUCCUUAUUUGCCAUCGGGUAAUGCCGGGAACUUUAAGGAUACUGCCAGUGACAAACUGGAGGAAGGCGGGGACGACGUCAAGUCAUCAUGGCCCUUACGGCCAGGGCUACACACGUGCUACAAUGGUCGGUACAAAGGGUUGCUACCUCGCGAGAGGAUGCUAAUCUCAAAAAGCCGAUCGUAGUCCGGAUCGCAGUCUGCAACUCGACUGCGUGAAGUCGGAAUCGCUAGUAAUCGCGGAUCAGAAUGCCGCGGUGAAUACGUU
rnacentral:rRNA from 1 species